rnacentral:rRNA from 1 species
GACGAACGCUGGCGGUGUGCCUAAUACAUGCAAGUCGAACGCUUCUUUCCUCCCGAGUGCUUGCACUCAACUGGAAAGAGGAGUGGCGGACGGGUGAGUAACACGUGGGUAACCUACCCAUCAGAGGGGGAUAACACUUGGAAACAGGUGCUAAUACCGCAUAACAGUUUAUGCCGCAUGGCAUAAGAGUGAAAGGCGCUUUCGGGUGUCGCUGAUGGAUGGACCCGCGGUGCAUUAGCUAGUUGGUGAGGUAACGGCUCACCAAGGCCACGAUGCAUAGCCGACCUGAGAGGGUGAUCGGCCACACUGGGACUGAGACACGGCCCAGACUCCUACGGGAGGCAGCAGUAGGGAAUCUUCGGCAAUGGACGAAAGUCUGACCGAGCAACGCCGCGUGAGUGAAGAAGGUUUUCGGAUCGUAAAACUCUGUUGUUAGAGAAGAACAAGGACGUUAGUAACUGAACGUCCCCUGACGGUAUCUAACCAGAAAGCCACGGCUAACUACGUGCCAGCAGCCGCGGUAAUACGUAGGUGGCAAGCGUUGUCCGGAUUUAUUGGGCGUAAAGCGAGCGCAGGCGGUUUCUUAAGUCUGAUGUGAAAGCCCCCGGCUCAACCGGGGAGGGUCAUUGGAAACUGGGAGACUUGAGUGCAGAAGAGGAGAGUGGAAUUCCAUGUGUAGCGGUGAAAUGCGUAGAUAUAUGGAGGAACACCAGUGGCGAAGGCGGCUCUCUGGUCUGUAACUGACGCUGAGGCUCGAAAGCGUGGGGAGCAAACA